AUGGCUCAGGAUGAACGCUAGCGACAGGCUAACACAUGCAAGUCGAGGGGCAGCAUAGAAGUAGCAAUACUUGGUGGCGACCGGCGCACGGGUGAGUAACGCGUAUGCAACCUACCUAUCAGAGGGGAAUAACCCGGCGAAAGUCGGACUAAUACCGCAUAAAACAGGGGCACCGCAUGGUGAUAUUUGUUAAAGAAAUUCGCUGAUAGAUGGGCAUGCGUUCCAUUAGGUAGUUGGUGAGGUAACGGCUCACCAAGCCGACGAUGGAUAGGGGAACUGAGAGGUUGGUCCCCCACACUGGUACUGAGACACGGACCAGACUCCUACGGGAGGCAGCAGUGAGGAAUAUUGGUCAAUGGGCGGGAGCCUGAACCAGCCAAGUCGCGUGAAAGGAAGAAGGAUCUAUGGUUCGUAAACUUCUUUUGCAGGGGAAUAAAGUGCAGGACGUGUCCUGUUUUGUAUGUACCCUGAGAAUAAGGAUCGGCUAACUCCGUGCCAGCCGCUGC
rnacentral:rRNA from 1 species